GAAAGGAGGAAGUGAGAAGAAAGAAACAGGGAAAUGCAGGCUGAGGAAUUACCAAGGAGGCAGGAGGUGGAGCAAAACACACCAAGCCUGAUGCCAGUCAUUGACAAUAUUAUGACCCUGCAAUGCGAUGCGGACACUAUCCAGAUUGGUAAACUGGUUCAUCUGAUCUUGUGCCCUCCACUCAGGAACUGACUCAGCGCAAGAAGACAGCUUCGACUCCUUAUGAUUUCAUCCCUAACCAAUCAGCACUCCUGGCUCACUGGCUUCCCCCAACCCACCAAAUUGUCCUUAAAAACUCUGCUCUCCAAAUGCUGGGGGAGACUGACUUGAGUAGUAAUAAAACUCUGGUCUCCC
rnacentral:lncRNA from 1 species